rnacentral:rRNA from 1 species
UACAGAGGUCUCAAGCGUUGUUCGGAUUCAUUGGGCGUAAAGGGUGCGUAGGUGGCGCUGUAAGUCGGGUGUGAAAUUUCGGAGCUUAACUCCGAAACUGCAUUCGAUACUGCGGUGCUUGAGGACUGGAGAGGAGACUGGAAUUCCUGGUGUAGCGGUGAAAUGCGCAGAUAUCAGGAGGAACACCGGUGGCGAAGGCGGGUCUCUGGGCCGAUACUGACGCCGAGGAGCGAAAGCGUGGGGAGCGAACAGG